UACGAAGGGGGGCUAGCGUUGCUCGGAAUCAUUGGGCGUAAAGCGCGCGUAGGUGGCUUCGUAAGUCCGUUGUGAAAGUCAAAGGCUCAACCUUUGAAAGCCGAUGGAUACUGCGGAGCUAGAGUACGGAAGAGGCGAGUGGAAUUCCUGGUGUAGCGGUGGAAUGCGCAGAUAUCAGGAGGAACACCAAUAGCGAAGGCAGCUCGCUGGGACGUUACUGACACUGAGGCGCGAAAGCGUGGGGAGCGAACAGG
rnacentral:rRNA from 1 species